rnacentral:lncRNA from 1 species
AUGUGGAUCGUCUUCAAACGUAUUUUGAUCUUCUACCACGAAAUCAGCUUCUAAUAUAGAUGCACAUAUCGUACAUACAAAAAGAGAACAUACACCAAAUAAAUAAACAUACACCAUUACAUGAAUAGACAUACACCAUUCACAAAUCAACAUAUACCGAACAAAUCAUACCUAUAAAAAGAAAAUGUCUAGAAUAAAACCUAAUUUGUAACCAUAUUAUAAGUCUACUUGUAUUGACAUUCAUCUCAUUCGCUAUGACAUAAAAUAUUAAUUCUACUUUGGGUUGUCACUAGUGAAACCUAUAUGGCAAUUCGACUAAGAAAGUACUUUAUAUAACAUAACUUAGAUGUAGUGAUUUAACCAACUCUACCGAAAUAGAUUAAUUAUUAAUUAAUUAUUUCUACCAUAAACAUGUGUCUACUUUUAGUUUUAUCUUUUCUUUCUGAAAGGAAAUGACAUCAUGUUAACCAGAGGUCAAAUAAUUUUAAUAUUAAGAGAAUUAAAUUAAACCACUGAUUUAGCUAUUCUAUUUGAAUCAUCAUGGACAUCGAUACUACUUAUAUUAUCUCAAUGUUAAUAGAAACUCUAUUAUUUAUUUAGUAGAUCUAAAUUAGGCAUAUGAACCUAUGAGCACAAACGUCUCGACUAAACUUUAAAAUUCAUUGUAAGUAAAGUUAACCGUGAAAUUACUCAUCAAGUAAUACGGGGUCUACCAAAUCCUAUCAUUCUUCAUUUUGAACAUAAAUUCUAAAAUAAUCGUAAACAAAUUAACAUACACAAUAUGAAAGAUAAUAGGACAUCAAUCCAUCACAUACACUCGAAAUUAAUUGUUUAACAUGCACAUGAUCUCCAAAUCACAAUAUACAUAAUUUAAAACAAAUAGUUACAGAAAUCAUGAACUAAAUCAAACAUGAUUUUGAAAAUUUAACCAAAAAUCGAGUUGUCUUUAACCUUGCUCACGGGUCCGUGCGCAAUGAUGAAAUCGAAGAACGGAGGGGGAUCGACCACGGCGAGCAGGGGCACGGUCAGCAGUGAGGGCGCAACCGGGGAGGGCGCGGUCGGCGAGGGCGCGGUCGGGAAGGAGCUCCGGCGAGCUCCGCGGACGGCGGAUGACGGUGGUGGCUCUGGUCGGCACGUAAGAGCAAGGGAGAGAGAGAAGAGAGUGCGGGGAGAGAGAGGGGCGAGCUCGGUGGCAAGGGGGCCAGUUC